CUCGAAUGUGGAGAUUAAGAAAAAACAAAAGUAGAAGAGAGCUGAGAUGUGCCUGCUGCUUGUGUGGUCCCGUUCCCAGCCUGCUCAGGUCAGAGCAUGCAGCUGCCAUGGUCAGACCUGCAGUGACAAAGUUGCGUGCCAUCAACUUGUCCCAUCUGAUUUGCAGAGCAGCCAGGUAGAGAGCAGGCUCUGGGAGGCCUCCUAGCGUUGUUGGUGCCAGAGGCAGAGGCAUGAGGACCGGAACCCAGGUGUUCGGGCACCAAGUUCAGUGCUCUUUGUUGCACUUAGCUGUCUCUCAAGGGGAGGUACAAAAUACAUU